rnacentral:rRNA from 1 species
CCUACGGGUGGCAGCAGUGAGGAAUAUUGGUCAAUGGCCGGAAGGCUGAACCAGCCAUGCCGCGUGAUGGUCAGUGCCCUAUGGGCGUUAAACUUCUUUUGUGCGGGAGCAAUAAUGGUCACGUGUGGCCAGACGAGAGUACCGUACGAAUAAGCAUCGGCUAACUCCGUGCCAGCAGCCGCGGUAAUACGGGGGAUGCAAGCGUUAUCCGGAUUUAUUGGGUUUAAAGGGUGCGUAGGCUGUGAGGUAAGUCAGCGGUGAAAUGCCCCCGCUCAAUGGGGUGAAGUGCCAUUGAUACUGGCUGGCUGGAAUGCGGAUGCCGUGGGAGGAAUGUGGGGUGUAGCGGUGAAAUGCAUAGAUAUCACACAGAACACCGAUUGCGAAGGCAUCUCACGAAUCCGCGAUUGACGCUGAUGCACGAAAGCGUGGGUAUCAAACAGGAUUAGAGACCCUUGUAGUC